GGGGAUAUAGCUCAGUGUUAGAGUGUUUGCCUAGCAUGCAUGAGGCUGUGGGUUCAACUCCCAACACCACCA
rnacentral:tRNA from 1 species